UGAGAAGCAAAUACAUAUCAAAGCUCACUUUCCUCAUGGGUAGAAAGCUAUUUGACUAACAGAUUUCAGCGGUGCCUUGGUGACAAGAAAAGAAAAAACCCUCCAAGGAUUCUGGAGGAAGUUGAAAGGCAGGAGGUCAGGCUUCCACCUGCAGGUAGAAUGAGUGUUUGCCAUUUCCUCAAAUUCCUUGAGACCACCCACUGGCAUGAAGGAUGGUGAGCAAAGCCUGGGGAAUGAAGACUAUCUUUCAAAAGGUGCUUCCUGGGAGAUUUAAGGGAGAAAAAGAAAAUAAUUUGUUGGUUUGUAUGUCAGCUAGCAAGGCUUUUGAUCAUUCAGUUGGGACAGUUCUGCCUGGAAGGGAUCAAUCUCUUUUUAUUCCAAAGACUAACACCAACAGAUACAAAUCAAAGGAGGUAUUCUUUCAACAAAGGAAAUUGCAGAAAGGAUGCCUAGGCUUAAUUAAAAUAUAACCUUUUGUUUUAAGGACUUUUCUUUCCCUUGCAAAAGGGAAUGCACUCUCUGAAGAAGCAUAUGCCAGCACUGGUGAGAUACAGUUCUUCAACAAGUAAGGAUCUGUCUACAUUCGGGGCACGUCUUGGGGAAGCCUUGAAGGGAAUCGUGCCUGGAGUCCCAUCUGACUUAACUCAUCAUCACAGUCCUUCAUCACAACAUAAUGAGUGUUAUUACUUCCUCAUGUGGCCUGUGGGCUUUGUUAAUUAAAGAAUGGAAAGUUCAAAGAUGGAAAUCGUCAGAGGCUUCCAAGAUGGCUGAAUAGGAACAGCUCCAGUCCGCAGCUCCCAGCAAGAUUGAUGCAGAAGGCGGAUGAUUUCUGCAUUUCCAACUAAGUGCCAUGACUUAAGGAGUGAAGAGAGGGCAUAGAGAACAAGCAGAGUAUGCAGGGCAUAUGCUGAGAUAAGAAACUGGAUCUGAAACAAGUUGAAUACUUGCAGAGAAUCAUGGGAACCAUUAUAACAAAGAAGUCAAGAGUGUUGGUGUGGAGUGGACCUUGGUUUGAAUACUCAGCUCUGCCACUUACUAGCUGUAGGCUCAUAUGCAAGUUACUAUCCUCAUCUGUUAAAAAGGAAUAAUAUCUAAUGUUAUAUAAAAUGUAAAAGUUAUUUCACACAAUGCCAUUCACAUAGUAAAUGUUCAAUAAAAGCAAAAACCUCAGGACAUAUAUAAGUGGCAAUGUGAAAUUAAUACAGCAGAAGCUCAGUUCACACAGAUGUUAAUCCUUAAACAAGCCUUGCAUUGUAUGAGUAUCCCACAAAAGGAGUAAGGGAAGAAGAUCUUACAUCACUGGAGUGAGUGACUACCAUGGACCAGCCACCGUUACUCACUUUACUUCAUUUAACCCGCACAAUAGCCUCAUGAGGUAGAUAUCAUCACCAUUUUGCAGAUGAGAAAGCUGAAGCUAAGCAAAGUUGACCUGACCAAAAUCACAUAGCAAUUAAGAUAGGAGUCCAGCUUCGUCUCAUUCCAAUAUGAGUGCGUUUUCCUCUUUUCCAUUGGCUCUCAAAGUUUGGUCUUAAAGGAGCUGUAUCAGCAUCACCUGGGAACUUAUUAGAACUGCACCUUCUCAGCCCUACCCCAAACCCACUGGGUCAGAAACUCUGGGGUUGGGGCCUAGCCAUCUGUGUUUCACACUCAGACUGACACACGAUCAUUUCUGAUAACCACUGCUCUAUGACAUGCGUUUCCUCUUCAGUUAGGAUCCGACUCCUUAUUUUGUAUUUAACAAGGAGUAUGAAACAAAGCCCGGGCUCUGAAUUUGUAUUCCUCAGCAAUAAUGUGUCAAGUAAUCUUAAACAAGCAAACCCCUGGCCCAUUCCAGCCCAUAGUGCAUGUGCGGAAGAAAAGUAGAAAUUAAUAUUGGGGCCAUUUUGCAUAUUCCUAAACCCGUAAGCUAGUCUCUUUGGAGAACGUUAAAGCUUUGCUAUUGUCACAACUAGUGGUGUCACUUCCCACCAUUCCUGUUAGUCUUGGGCAACAUGAUAUAUUUAUUAAGCUCCUACUAUGUGCCACUGGGAGAAGAGUGAAGAACAAAAUCAGCAAAGCCUCCCCUCAGGGAGCAUAUGAUCCGAUCUUUCCCAGCAGUGGACUCUUGUUGGUCAUUCCUAGAAUCCCAAGACCCUUCUCUUUUAUCGUUCCCCCCACCAAACCUAUCUACAUUUAGAAUGGGAAUAACUAUAACUUCUAGGCAAGUAACUGUAACUCCUAACUGAGAUCAUUUACUCAAACUCCCCUGGAUCACACAUAGCCUGUCCACCCAAUGUAGUAUAGCUGACUCCUCUGGUCUGAAUGUGCCCCCUCAAAAUUCACAUAUUGAAACCCUGACCCCCAAGUCGACAGUAAUUAGGAGGUGAGGAUUUGGGGAGGUGACUGUGACUCAUGCCCUUAUAAAAGACGCCCCAGAGAGACCCCUCACCCCUUCCACCGUGUGAGCACACAGCAAAAACUACCUUGUAUGAACCAGAAAGUAAGUCCUCACUAGACAAUGAAUCUGCCAGCACCUUGAUCUUCCACUCCCCAGCCUCCAGAACUGUGGGAAACAAGUUUAUAAACCACCCAGUUUAUGAUACGUUGUUAUAGCAGCCUGAACAGACUAAGACACUGACCAAAUGAUAAGGAUCAGAGAAAAGCCAAUCAAGCUUGGAGAAACCAUUUUCCAAGCACCCACUGUACCAGCAGCCCAAGAAUCAUUCAGAAUUGUCCUGGCCAUUACGCUGUGUGCCCAUGGAUCUCAGCAUGAGUCUGAAGAAUCAGCUCUGCCAAGCCAGGACCCAGACCCUCCAGCAUUUUAGUCCAAUGUUCUCUGCACUCCCCGGGUGAUGGUGUGAUGCUGGAGUUACCACAAGUCAUCAGCCUCACUAGCCAAAGGGCAAAUACCCUGAAUUUGCUCUUUAUUGACUAUAUGAGAACCACAUUGCUUCACACUGAAAACAAGUACUAUUUGAAGUAUAAAAGGACUCCUAAUCUAUAUUCCACCUGCCGCUAGCUCUGUCUUUGAAAGCCAUUGCCUUCACUGAAUGAUUCCAGCUGGUGCUCUCCUCUGUGCUGGCUUUUAUGGGCUAUAAGGAUGGAUACACAAGGUGUAGGUCAGUUUUUUAGGGAAUGUAGAAGCCUUGCCCUCUCAACUCAACACAUGCUUCUCUUUUCUUCUUCCCUCUAUCCUGGAAUUAAUGGGGAUAAAUGUUGCUAAAGCAUCUAGUUAAAUGUUCUUAGAUAAUUCUGGUCUGUACACUGAUUGACCAGAAAACAGAAAUGACUUCAUCUGAAAGAAAACUAAUAUAUGUGGGAAAGAGGAGUGAUCGGCUGUAAUAUUUAUGUUUUCCUGUCUCUUGUGUGAAUUCACAGGCAACUUCCAGAAUAAAAUCCUC
rnacentral:lncRNA from 1 species